rnacentral:pre_miRNA from 1 species
CAAGUACUCCCUCCGUCCGGAAUUACUUGUCAUCAAAAUGGAUGUGUCUAGAACUAAAAUACAUCUAGAUACAUCCAUUUCAAUGACAAGUAUUUUCAGACAGAGGGAGUACAAG